GAUGAACGCUGGCGGCGUGCCUAAUACAUGCAAGUCGAGCGAACGGACGCGAAGCUUGCUUCUCUGAUGUUAGCGGCGGACGGGUGAGUAACACGUGGAUAACCUACCUAUCAGCCUGGGAUAACUUCGGGAAACCGGAGCUAAUCCCGGAUAAUAUUUUGAACCGCAUGGUUCAAGAGUGAAAGACGGUCUUGCUGUCACUUAUAGCUGAAUCCGCUCUGCAUUAGCUAGUUGGUAAGGUAACGGCUUACCAAGGCAACGAUGCAUAGCCGACCUGAUAGGGUGAUCGGCCACACGAGAACGGAGACACGGUCCUGACUCCUACGGUAGGCAGCAGUAGGGAAUCUUCCGCAAUGGGCGAAAGCCUGACGGAGCAACGCCGCGUGAGUGAUGAAGGUCUUCGGAUCGUAAAACUCUGUUAUUAGGGAAGAACAUAUGUGUAAGUAACUGUGCACAUCGUGACGGUACCUAAUCAGAAAGCCACGGCUAACUACGUG
rnacentral:rRNA from 1 species